rnacentral:rRNA from 1 species
GACGAACGCUGGCGGCGUGCUUAACACAUGCAAGUCGGACGGAAAGGCCCUGCUUUUGUGGGGUGCUCGAGUGGCGAACGGGUGAGUAACACGUGAGUAACCUGCCCUUGCCUUUGGGAUAACUUCAGGAAACUGGGGCUAAUACCGGAUAGGAGCUCCUGCUGCAUGGUGGGGGUUGGAAAGUUUCGGCGGUUGGGGAUGGACUCGCGGCUUAUCAGCUUGUUGGUGGGGUAGUGGCUUACCAAGGCUUUGACGGGUAGCCGGCCUGAGAGGGUGACCGGCCACAUUGGGACUGAGAUACGGCCCAGACUCCUACGGGAGGCAGCAGUGGGGAAUAUUGCACAAUGGGCGGAAGCCUGAUGCAGCAACGCCGCGUGCGGGAUGACGGCCUUCGGGUUGUAAACCGCUUUCGCCUGUGACGAAGCGUGAGUGACGGUAAUGGGUAAAGAAGCACCGGCUAACUACGUG